rnacentral:rRNA from 1 species
AGUAUUAAUGCUAGAAUAAGUAACUAAGGAACAACCUUCUAAAGCACAAACUUACAUCACACAUUAUUAACAGACAUACUAAUACCCCAACCACCACAAGAUCGAGUAUUCAAUACAACACUGUUAAACCAACCCAGGAGUGCCCAAUUAAAAAGAUUUAAACCUGUAAAAGGAACUAGGCAAACCCAAGGCCCGACUGUUUACCAAAAACACAGCCUUUAGCAAACCAAGUAUUAAAGGUGACGCCUGCCCAGUGACACAGAGUUCAACGGCCGCGGUAUCCUAACCGUGCAAAGGUAGCGCAAUCAAUUGUCUCAUAAAUCGAGACUUGUAUGAAUGGCUAAACGAGGUCUUAACUGUCUCUUACAGGUAAUCAGUGAAAUUGAUCUCCCCGUGCAAAAGCGGGGAUAAACCCAUAAGACGAGAAGACCCUGUGGAACUUAAAAACCAGCGACCACUAUAAACCUAAUAUAAGACCUAAUAGGCACACUACCAGAAACA